rnacentral:lncRNA from 1 species
AAAAUAAAAUUAAAAAAACGAAUUGCAAAAAAACAAAUAGUUAAAAAAAACUAAAAUAACAAGAAAUAAAUGAAAUUUAAGCAAAAUAAUGGGCGAAAUCGCGACACGCGAAUUACAUGGAGGGCCAAAUCGGAAAUAAUCCGCCUCCCCAAAACAGUGUCGUUUCGCUAGCAUGAUUUAAAACAGUUUUUUUAGAAAAAAAAACAUUGUUUGCAGCAUAGAAAAAAAAAGAAAACAAAAAAAAAACAAAGGCUCUCUACUAGGGUUUUUAACCCCAGCCCCCUGACGCCACCGUUCACUCUUGCCGAUGCUCCGAUUGCGACAGAGACGGCACAAAUCUGACGAUUCCAACUUGAGGAGUAAGCCAUUUCCUCCUUUCUUUAUAUUUUAAGCAAAAAUAAAUAAAGA